GUCCUGGAGGUGGGGUUUUGCUCUCUCUGGGGAAGUUUAUUCAUUCCAGAUAUAUCACUUUCCUGUUCUUGCUCUGUAUGUUUCUGUGCUACUGAGGUUAGAGCCCAGGAUCUCUCCCAUGCCAGACAGGUACCACCCGGGCCACAUCCCCAGCCCUCCAUGUGUAUUUCACCAACAUCUGCCAUGCGCUUGGCAUGAGGGCCUGCGCUCAAGGGGGUGAGGGAGAGGCAGGCAAUUCAUCAGGCACUUCUUCUCCUCCAAGAUUGACUGGAGGUGGAGGAAGUUUGGGGCACAGUACAAACCCCCAGGAGAGGCACCUGCCCUAGGGAUGCGGGCAGCAAUGUCACUCAGGAGAGAAGGAUGUCUGUCUGGCACCCUAAAGAUGGAACAGUCAGUCCCAGGAGCUGUUAGGAAAUCCCCUGGUUCCUGGGCCCUGGGUGACGUGAACCUGGCCCGGAGGAGGAGGACACCGAGCUCCCUCCUGGUGAGGUUGGGGCCUGCUGGCCUUGACAGUGAGGUGGGGAGGGAAGGGCCUCUGCUAGUGAGGUGAGGGACACUGGAGUUGGGAGAGCACAGUGACCAAAUCCUGAGAGAAGGAUGCAUCUGUGACCAGGGGUCUUCUGGACAGGCAUCAGUCGUCCUUGCAUACCCGCUGUGCCAGGUACUGAGCCGGGAAACAAGAGGGACCCUUCCACUCCCGCUGGGGCCGUGUGGCAGGCCUGGGGGGCAGAGCUGUGACUGUGGGCUUUUUCCACCCAGCUUUGCUCCGCUCCCUUUCUGCAGGUCCCUCACACACAUAUAUGUGCAAAUAUGAGUGCAGUUGCACACAUGUAUAUCGGCACACACCUACACACAUCCAUUUGCACACCCGCACACACUUGCACACACUGCCUUUGCAGACACACACCUAUGCACUUUUUGCAACAUGUUUGUUUUUGCACACCACACAUCCAUCUGUGCCAAUAUGCUUUCGUCGUCCAUUUGCGCACACCCACACACUCAUGCUCACAUGGACACAUUUGUACACCUGCACAUCGUAUACUUGCGCAUACAGCAAACCUAAAUGCAUGAACACACACACACGCACGCACACACGUAUUCUAGUGCGCGUAGCCUCUACCUCAGCCUCUCCGGCCGCUCUUCUCUCCUGGGUCUCCCCACCUGCUGCCUCCGGUGGAAGGGGCGUGGCCUUGUGUCCUGCCCCACUGACUGUCAGCUUGUCUGUCUCUCUCCCUCGGAGCAGGAGGCUUCCUGAGGAGGCUGACAUCUCCGCCCAGGUUGGCCACAGCCCAGCGGAAGUCUCUGGGGGGUGAGGCUGAGAGGAAACCACAUUCGUGCUCGCUCUGGGUCCCUGCAGCCCUUGCCCUCCGGGGAGCAGGGAGGCCAGUGGGUGUGAGGUGGCUCUGGGGGAGGGGAGCUGUGGUUGUAUCCCCAGGCUCUUCAGUCUCCAGGAAGAAAUCAGGCCUCUUGAUGGAGGAGAAGGGAAAACCAUGUCAACUGCUUGUCCUGCAGCAGCCACUGAGUACCAGCAUUGUGCAUAACUACUGUGCCAGAUUCUUCAUUGAAUUCUCUCGAUGGUCCCGUUCUGCAGGAGAGGAAGGAAGAUUCAGGAGGAGAGCCUGGCCUAGUCCAGGCUCUGCCAUCAUCACAAGGCUAUGAGACCAGACUUGCAGGGGAAAGCUGGAGUGGAAUCCCAGAGGAGCUCUUGGGAAGGCUUUCAUCACCUCUAAUGAUCUAAUAUCAACAACAGCCUCCUAAUAGGGAGGAAGAGAUUCAUUCUCGCUAGAACUGAAUAGAUACCUGGAAAAUCAUGCCACACACUUCACGGUGGACCAGAACACCCCCUACCCUUUGAUUAAAUCACUGGGACGUUGAAAUGGUUCUGCAGAGCUGAGAGUGUUGCCUUAAAACAAACAAGCAAACAAAUGAAUAAACAAACAGAAACGAGUCUUGGUUUUCCACAUGAAGGGCUUUUCUUUCCAGAUAGGGUAAAUUGCAAUGGCCCCUGGGCCCUUGUCUGGAUUC